GACGAACGCUGGCGGCGUGCCUAAUACAUGCAAGUAGAACGCUGAAGAGAGGAGCUUGCUCUUCUUGGAUGAGUUGCGAACGGGUGAGUAACGCGUAGGUAACCUGCCUUGUAGCGGGGGAUAACUAUUGGAAACGCUAGCUAAUACCGCAUAACAAUGGGUGACACUUGUCAUUUAUUUGAAAGGGCCAAUUGCUCCACUACAAGAUGGACUUGCGUUGUAUUAGCUAGUAGGUGGGGUAAUGGCUCACCUAGGCGACGAUACAUAGCCGACCUGAGAGGGGGAUCGGCCGCACUGGGGCGGAGACGCGGCCCAGACUCCUACGGGAGGCAGCAGUAGGGAAUCUUCGGCAAUGGGGGCAACCCUGACCGAGCAACGCCGCGUGAGUGAAGAAGGUUUUCGGAUCGUAAAGCUCUGUUGUAAGUCAAGAACGGGUGUGGGAGUGGAAAGUUCUCACUGUGACGGUAGCUUACCAGAAAGGGACGGCUAACUACGUG
rnacentral:rRNA from 1 species